UACCAGCACCCCGAGUGGUCGGGACGUUUAUUGGGCCUAAAGCAUCCGUAGCCGGUUCUACAAGUCUUCCGUUAAAUCCAGCUGCUUAACAGAUGGGCUGCGGAAGAUACUAUGGAGCUAGGAGGCGGGAGAGGCAAGCGGUACUCGAUGGGUAGGGGUAAAAUCCGUUGAUCCAUUGAAGACCACCAGUGGCGAAGGCGGCUUGCCAGAACGCGCUCGACGGUGAGGGAUGAAGCUGGGGGAGCAACCGG
rnacentral:rRNA from 1 species